rnacentral:rRNA from 1 species
ACGGGGUGCAGCAGGCGCGAAACCUCCGCAAUACACGAAAGUGUGACGGGGUUACCCAAAGUGUUCUAUUUAGAACUGUGGUAGGUGAGUAAUGUCCCCUACUAGAAAGGAGAGGGCAAGGCUGGUGCCAGCCGCCGCGGUAAAACCAGCUCUUCAAGUGGUCGGGAUAAUUAUUGGGCUUAAAGUGUCCGUAGCCGGUUUAGUAAGUUCCUGGUAAAAUCGGGUAGCUUAACUAUCUAUAUGCUAGGAAUACUGCUAUACUAGAGGGCGGGAGAGGUCUGAGGUACUACAGGGGUAGGGGUGAAAUCUUAUAAUCCUUGUAGGACCACCAGUGGCGAAGGCGUCAGACUGGAACGCGCCUGACGGUGAGGGACGAAGGCCAGGGGAGCGAACCGGAUUAGAUACCCGGGUAGUCCUGGCCGUAAACGAUGCAUACUAGGUGAUGGCACGGCCAUGAGCCGUGUCAGUGCCGUAGGGAAACCGUUAAGUGUGCCGCCUGGGAAGUACGGUCGCAAGGCUAAAACUUAAAGGAAUUGGCGGGGGAGCACCACAAGGGGUGAGGCCUGCGGUUCAAUUGGACUCAACGCCGGAAAACUUACCAGGGGAGACAGCAGUAUGACGGUCAGGUUGACGACCUUACCUAACGAGCUGAGAGGAGGUGCAUGGCCGUCGCCAGUUCGUGC